AGCCCCACUUAGCUAAUGUGGAGCUUCGGGUUUUAACCUAUGCCCGGGUAAUUAGUGGCUUUACUUCUUGUUUUCUUUUCCUUCAGCUGAGACACAGCAAGUUGGUGUGAUUGAAAAGUGAAGCCAGGUGUGAGACAGGCAAUGCUCAAGGAGGACAGAAGAGGACAUCAGGUCCCCUGGAACUGGAGUGACAGACACUGCGAGCUACCAUUACAAAUUUACCAUUCCAUUGGCACCUGAGAAUUCCAGACUCAAGGGAUUUCCUUCACACCAUUUUCUAGUCAGGUUCCUGCCACCCAUACCUUGCUCCUGUUGGUGUUGGUGAGACAAGAUGGAGAUCUCCUGGAAUGAGGAUUGGACUGGCUCCAAGGAACCCGAUGACCCUGACAAGCAGGAAGCAGCUAAGAGAACUGUGCCCCAUCCCCCACUAACCCUUUCUUUCUCCUACCUGGUG